CAUAGUCAUUUAAUAGCCUAUACUAAUCAAACACUUAUACGGCAUGUUGUAAAUUUUUUUCUAGAAUUAUCAAAUAACAAUAACAAUUACAUAUACAUAAUCUUGUGAUAUUAUCAUUGAAUAAUAACUCAUCCUUGGACGUUUCUUAAACUUUCUUCUUCUGUUUCCUUCCCCCCCCCCCCCCCCCCUCCUCUCAGGAUGUCUUAGAUGAGCAAAGGUUUCAAUCUUAAAUCAUUUUUAAGUCAUUAUAGGUCUUACUAGCCAAUGGUAACUCGCAUCUGAAUAUAUAUUGAAGGACGUAGAUUCAAGCUCCUUAACUCAUGAGAGGUUGUUUUUCAUAAAUAAAUUUCUAAUUAUUUUUGUCUAUUGAUCGUAACAAUUAAAAAAAUAAUAAUCCAGAAUUAUCAUCUGAUCGGUGUAUCAUUUAAAUAAUUAAAGACAUGAAUUGUAUGACAAGAUAGCCUCAAUUUGAAGCCCAAAUUAAUGGUCUCGUAAAACGGCAAAUAUUGCCAAAGCCCAAGAUGAUAAGCAUUGGAUACCAAGAGCCCAACCUCUUCGGCCAGCAAUUUCUGCUCAAUUCCAUCCAAGGGAUUUUGUCUCUGUGUUUUAAUUUUCUGAAGCCGCCGAAGCGAAAAUAAAUGAACCUCUUCCUUUCCAUGCAAAAAAAUGAUAUAAUUAUUUAGUUUCAAAUCUUUUGGACGACACUUCUAACAAUGGAAAUUAAAUUGAAAUUGAAAUAAAACAUAAUUAAUGCAACAUGGUGUUAUUGCUAUGUCAAUUUGUGCUUCAUGAAGUGCUCCUAGUGCAGUGUUUUAUUCUUAAAAAAAAUAAAUAAAGAUAUAAGCCAUUUGUAUAAUCUAUUUAAAAAAAAAUUAUUAAAAUUACUAAAAUUAUUCAUCAAUUCCAAUAUAAUUCAUCUAUUAACAAUUAAUUAUCUCAAUUAUUUUAAAAAGUUUAAUUACUAAAACAAAACUUUUACUAUCGCAUAAAUAAUAGAGCAUCUUAUUAGAUCCGAUUGAUAUUAGAUCUAUUUUAAUAUCUGUAUCUAGAAGUGCCUUUACGCGAUAGUAGACAGUGCCGUAUGCCCUUUACUUCCAUAAACAAAGGGGCAAACCCAUGUAAGUUAUAUAUAAUGAGUAAUGACUGCGUCCAAGUAUUAAGAGUAAAAAAAAAAAGGAAAUUGAAAAUCGUAUCGAUGAGAGUCGUCACUCGUCACUCUUCAUAGGCGACGGUGACAUGGCGCUGACGCGCUUAACGGAAGUCCAAGUCUAAACAAAUUACGUUAAAAAACAAAAGCGUAUUUAGUCAGACAAGCAUUAACAUUAAAAAGAAAAAUAUGCAAUGAUAAGAUUGACUUUGACCCGGAGUAAUACAAGAUUUACGGCGCGGAUCACCUGUACAAACACGCUUCCGUAGACUGCUUCCGUGCUUCUCAUUACAUACUAGUUUUUCUUUUCAAACGAAAUUUACACGUGCGAUAUGUUUUGGCCUACUCUUUACACGCGUCUAUAUAACCCAACUUGCAUGAAGAUUAGAUUGGGAUUCGGGGAUUAGGUUUAGUGAGCACUAACUAUAGCAGCAGAGUCUUUGGGUAGCUCAACUGACACCUUUUACCAUUACACCACGUGUUCUAAAAUAAAAUUAUUUUUAUUAAAAUUAACUAGUUCGAGUUGUAAAUAUAUGACUUAUAUUAUUAAUUCAUGGGAUUUACUUAAUUAUUGUUUUGUUGUCUACGUUAUAAUUUAAAUUGUCGGGUUAGUUCAUCUUAUAGUUAUUCUGAUCGUAAGCUUCAAUAAGUUUUAAUUUAAACAUCAUUAAGCUUAAUUCAAUAAACAUGAUUAAUCCGUUAGCAUGUGAUAAGUGAGGGUGGAUGAAGGAAAUAUAUAUGUCAACAAAUUCUGAGUUUUCGCAUGCAAAAUGAGACUUUUCUGAUUUUCUUAUUCAAUAAUACUCAAUGUUUUAGUUUGCACAAUUGAUAUUGUUAGAAGCAAUUAAUUAUAGAAAAAGCCUGUCAAAUUAGAAGAAAUUUUCCUAAGUCAAUAUGACAUAUAAAAUUUUCAAAUUUUUUUUGAUAUCUCAUAUUUAUGUACAGUUGUUUGGUAAUUUUCCAUAGAAAAGGUGAGAGUAGUUGUAGUUUAUUUGAUUUCCUCAUCCUAAUUUCUUGACAUCGAGAAACCCAUCCUCUACCCCCCCAACUCCAAAACAACAACAAUAAUAACAACAAUAAUAACAAUAAUAAUAAUAAUAAUAAUAAUAAUAAUAAUAAUUAUUAUUAUUAUUAUUUUGAUCAGUUUAAAUUAUAUUUUUAAUUAACCAUUUAACUUACCCUUAAUAUCUUGCUCGAAUGUUAAUCUUUUUAUGUUGAGUCAGAUAAUCCUCACUUUAAUACAAUAUCAUAUUUUUAUUAGUUCUGUAUUUGUGAUCGUAACAUGUUAAUAAUUUGACAUUUAAUAUUUAUUUUCAAACGUUCUUCUUUGACUUUCUUAAAUAAACUUUUAUGUAAUUCACUUAGUUUAUUUAUUAUGAGGGUUUCGUUACAAGGUUUGGAUUAGAAUCAAUAUUAAUUAUAGUUGUGAUAACAUAUUUCCGAUUUGAUAUGCAAUAUUAUUGGUCCAACAUUUUUAUUAUUACGGAUCAUUACGUUACUAGUGUGAUAUCCUAUGUUAUCAAUUUAUAUUUUAUCUUGAAAUGGGCUUUAGGUUUUGUUUAAAAGACCUUUAUGCCCACCAAGAGCAAGGAAUAUCAUAAGCUCCAGAAGAAGUAUCCAGUCUAAAAACUUUCAGGUCGCCAUUGACUACGCGGUCGUUAUAUACGUUUACAAUAAUGCCCAUUGACUUUUUUUCGAGUGACGAUAUGACAAUAUGGCGCUCACCUACUCCCUUAUUGACAAAUUUGCCCCUCGACGGUCAACAAAACUCACCUUAAAAAUUUCUCCAAAAGCCUCUAU
rnacentral:lncRNA from 1 species